GACGUAGGAUGCGAGCGUUGUUCGGAUUUAUUGGGCGUAAAGCGUACGUAGGCGGUUUCUUAAGUCUGGUGUUAAAGCUAGGGGCUCAACCCCUGUGAUGCACUGGAAACUGGGGGACUUGAGAACGGUAGGGGAAGGUGGAACUCCGAGUGUAGCGGUGAAAUGCGCAGAUAUCAGGAGGAACACCGGUGGCGAAGGCGGGUCUCUGGGCCGAUACUGACGCUGAGGAGCGAAAGCGUGGGGAGCGAACAGG
rnacentral:rRNA from 1 species